ACAAUCGUUCAGCUACCUUUGUUUUCAUUUAUAACUUCUACAUCCGGCCUGCAGAGUAUCUCAGAGUAUGCGAGCACUCGUCAGUGAUGGUUGGCGGCUCGAGGCAAGAGAGCGAUAUUGGUUACUGUAAUACAGUUUUUUUAGAUAAAGGAAGCUUGAUAACUUUAAUACAAUUGCUCAGUCUUGCAGUACCUCAUGGAUCAAUACUUCAAUUGUUACAGUACCAGUUUUGUUUUUCUUGAUAGCAAGUUAGCAACAGUCCCGGCGUUGGAAGCAGGCGCUCACCCUGACAGAUGCCAAGGUAUCUAGAGUAUGCCAACUCGUCAACCUGAGGCAUGACCCUGCCUGCACGUCGGAGUCAAAACAUGCGAUUGCAAUGGCCUGUUUUACCACUUAAUAUGCUGGCAUUCGCUCCCUGGGUUGCUGCUUUGAGCACGAGAUGCCAAUCCUAAUGGCAGAGGCCAAACACUCCUGAACUCUGCUUCUUGUGCUGUUAUCAUUGGCGUCAUUGUGUAACCAUAUUGCCGGAUCAGCUAUUUCCAAGAUUCUGUCAGGGGUGUUAUUUGCACUUUCAAGCAUGAUCCUUGAUAUACCGAAGUCUCCGACUCGGGCACUCAUAUCUUCUGCAAGAAGGAUGUUGCUUGGCUUGACAUCGCAAUGGACAAUAGGGGGCUGACAGUGAUUAUGAAGAUAAUCCAGAGCAUCCAUGACAUUGACAGCAAUGUCUAGCCUUUGAGCUAGGCUGAGAGUAUUGUUCAGAGUGGAAAUGCUGUACUUUGGAUGAAGCCAACCAUCUAAGCUUCCGUUGGGCAUGAGGUCAAUAACUAAUGCCUUGAAAUCUUGACCUUGAUUAUCGAUGCUGGAGCAGCACGUGAUGAUUUUUAUAAGACAACGGUGGCGUACACUUCUCAGUGCCUCACAUUCAGCCUCAAAACUCCUGGAAGAUCCUGAUUCCAGAAGGUUAAAUACUUUUACAGCCACAGGAUGCGUGGAGCAUGGGUUCAAGCGAAGCUGAGGUAUUCCACCACACAGCUUGGUAUUUCCAUUGAUGGAUAUGGCAGUCAAGUUCCCGAAAAUACCCCCAUUUGGCACUUCACCCUGCAAAUCAUUGAAGGAUGCAU